rnacentral:misc_RNA from 1 species
GAUGAAGAACGCAGCGAAAUGCGAUAAGUAAUGUGAAUUGCAGAAUUCAGAGAAUCAUCGAAUCUUUGAACGCACAUUGCGCCCUCUGGUAUUCCGGGGGGCAUGCCUGUUCGAGCGUCAUUAUAACCACUCAAGCUCUCGCUUGGUAUUGGGGUUCGCGGUUCCGCGGCCCCUAAAAUCAGUGGCGGUGCCUGUCGGCUCUACGCGUAGUAAUACUCCUCGCGAUUGAGUCCGGUAGGUCUACUUGCCAGCAACCCCCAAUUUUUACAGGUUGACCUCGGAUCAGGUAGGGAUACCCGCUGAACUUAAGCAUAUCAAUAAGCGGAGGA